GCAAAUUACCUGCAGUCUGUAAUCUGAACAGUCAAAUGUCACACCUCCUCACUGCCUUCCUUGGAUGGCAACUUUGGGAUUACCAUUGUGGAAGAUUUAAAUGUGCUUUAGGAAGUUGCUGAGUUGAAAUGUGGUCCAGAGAAUCAGAUCCAAUUCACCUUUCAAUAUACCUCUGCAAUAAUGGACAGAAUCCCUUUAAACAUUUCUCCUUACAUGGACCAUGAUGUUAAACAUUUGAGUAGAGAGCACUGGAAGAACACUGCAGGAGGAAGACACUUUCCUGCUGAAAGCGAUGGGGUGGACACUGUCUGCUCUAGGCAUCCUGUCAUCUCCACUCUGCACACUGUGCACCAGUCAUUGAUUAUAGUUCACCUACACAUGGAGGAUUGCAGUAACCAUGGACCAGCUCUGGCUUGGGAAAACCAGUGAACUUCUCUGCAUCCAGUGAGCUGCAACUAUACUCACUCCAACUGGAUCCGAACUCCAGC